rnacentral:rRNA from 1 species
CAAGAUUAAGCCAUGCAUGUCUGAGUACAGACCGAUUAUAAAAAGGUGAAACCGCAGACGGCUCAUUAAAUCAGUCGUAAUCCACUGGAGCUCGAACCAGACUUACUUGGAUAACCGUGGUAAUUCUAGGGCUAAUACACGCAACCGAGCCCCGACUCUGCUUCGGUGGAGGCAAGGGCGCCUUUAUUAGCACCCCAAAUCGAUCUCCGUCGCGUCACUUCACUGUCUUUUUGUCCUUUGGGGCGUUGAGUUCAGUGAAGACGCACGGGUCAUGGUGAAUCCUGGAUAACCUAGCCGAGCGUUUUGGUUUCACGUUCGUCGUGGCCGGCGCCGCAUCCUUCGAGCGACUGCCUUAUCAGCUAUACCGUAAGGUAUUGGCUAACGGUGGCUGUUACGGGUAACGGGGAAUUAGGGUUCGAUUCCGGAGAGGGAGCCUGAGAAACGGCUACCACAUCCAAGGAAG